AAUAAAAAAAAACAAACGUAAUUAGUAACACUUUAUAAAGACCUUAUCUCCACAGAAAUUAAUUAAUUUAAUUAAUUAAUGUCAUAAUACCUAAAAAUGACGUCAUAGAAAUUAACCCCACCUCGGGAGGCUACCUCUCAGGAGGCUACCUUUUCCCCAUAGGGUUAACAUUAGACAAAAGUCGCCAGCACCCCAACUUUCCCCAC
rnacentral:lncRNA from 1 species